GACGAACGCUGGCGGCGUGCCUAAUACAUGCAAGUCGAACGCAGUGGGGACGGGUGAGUAACACGUGGGUAACCUCCCAUCAGAGGGGAUAAAACUUGGAAACAGGUGCUAAACCGCUACUGACGGAGGGACCCGCGGUGCAUUAGCUAGUUGGUGUGGUAACGGCUAACCAAGGCCACGAUGCAUAGCCGACCUGAGAGGGUGAUCGGCCACACUGGGACGGAGACACGGCCCAGACUCCUACGGGAGGCAGCAGUGGGGAAUCUUGGACAAUGGACGCAAGUCUGACCGAGCCACGCCGCGUGAGUGAAGAAGGUUGUCGGUUCGUAAAGCUCUGUUGUUAGGGAAGCGGUAUCUACCCAGAAAGCCACGGCUAACUACGUGCCAGCAGCCGCGGUAAUUC
rnacentral:rRNA from 1 species